AGUUGGAUAACUGGGUCAAGAUUCAGUUCCAUUCCUAGUUUUUUGAGGAAUCUCCAUACUGCUUUCCAGAGUGGUUAUAUCAAUUUGCAGUCCCACCAGCAAU
rnacentral:pre_miRNA from 1 species